rnacentral:rRNA from 1 species
GACGAACGCUGGCGGCGUGCCUAAUACAUGCCAGUAGAACGCUGAAGGAGGAGCUUGCUUCUCUGGAUGAGUUGCGAACGGGUGAGUAACGCGUAGGUAACCUGCCUGGUAGCGGGGGAUAACUAUUGGAAACGAUAGCUAAUACCGCAUAAUAGUAGAUGUUGCAUGACAUUUGCUUAAAAGGUGCAAUUGCAUCACUACCAGAUGGACCUGCGUUGUAUUAGCUAGUUGGUGGGGUAACGGCUCACCAAGGCGACGAUACAUAGCCGACCUGAGAGGGUGAUCGGCCACACUGGGACUGAGACACGGCCCAGACUCCUACGGGGGGCAGCAGUAGGGAAUCUUCGGCAAUGGACGGAAGUCUGACCGAGCAACGCCGCGUGAGUGAAGAAGGUUUUCGGAUCGUAAAGCUCUGUUGUAAGAGAAGAACGAGUGUGAGAGUGGAAAGUUCACACUGUGACGGUAUCUUACCAGAAAGGGACGGCUAACUACGU